AGGUGGUGAAUACGUCUUGCUAUGGCCCUGAAAGAUGUUUGGCAAUGAUGAUUGACAGCAUGCCUUAUAUGGCGAAUAUGUUAUUAGAUAAAUGUGUAACUACUAAAGGAACAAAAGACCAUCCAGACGAUUAUCAAGUUAUGUAUGAUUUCUUUUGCCUUGAAUCAAAAGGUAAUUGACGCAAGGUAGUAUUUUCCUGGGAAGGUUGACGCACAGCAUUGUAUUAUUUUUUGAGAUAAAUUAGUCCGUAUAGGCAGCCUAAUUGCAGUGCGGCAGAUAGUUACAAGAAAUAGGCAUGAAAUGGCGUCCAUUUUUAUUUGUGCCCGUUUGAGACAUUUGAAGAGAGUUUGCCGGAUAUGCACGAGUCUGUAAAUAUUAUCUGAAACGGGUACAAUCAACAAUGAAAGCCUUCGUUCACAUAAUGCGUGGGUCAGCCUUUCAUAUCGGGUUCAUAUAUGACUACCAUCUUGCUUUCUUUUACAUAAAGAUAAGAAUGGUAGCUGUCCUCUUUUUGAAGCUCUGGGCCAAAUGGCGGAGAAAACAUGCGAGGUUUGCUUGCGUCAUCCAGUAGCUGUGAAGUAUGUCGACAUAAAAUGGAGGAAACGAGGAUUCAAAUACACUAUAGGUUUAAUAUUGCUAACCUUGAUCUUUCAUAUAUGCCUCAUGAUUUAUACAACACGAGUUAUUGGUGUGGUGAACAAGCGCACUGAAUUAAGACGUAAGUACUUAUAUAUGAAUCACAUGGCGACAAAUGUUUCCGUUUCACUGUGGCCUGCAUGGCAGGCGGUUCCUAAAAUUGGGCAAGCCUGGGAAAUACCGCCUGCUGGGUUUGGCAGUGUAAUCGAAUUCCCCGUCCACCAGUGGACGGGAAUUGAUGAUUGGCUGCGAGUCUGAGCCGCUGUCACUCAAAAGUGAAUACACUUUAAUAUGUAUUUAAAGUUUGACACUUUAAUGUGCAUGCGUUCGCUUUAAUUAAUAGGUGUUGUAAAACUGAACGCUUCUCGAAAGUCGAAACGCAAACUGAUUGUCAAACGCGAGCAAGAGAUAGCAGUUAAAGAUUUACUCCUUGGAAAGAAUGUUUUGGCCAUUCUAUGGGAAAAGCCUGAUUUUUACAUUGUUCUUGUUGGUGCGAGAAAACAUAACGAGAAUAGAUACAGACGGCCGCAUAAUCUUUCUUGCAACGGGUUUUAUAACAAUAACAGGACUAUUACGCCUAGCCCGCCUAGGCCUAUUAGCCGCUUCACUUUCUAAACUUUUUAAGGCUUUCGUUACCACACAGCUUCGUUAGGGAGAUGAGACAGUUAGUAUUGGCAACUGAGGUUUUUAAUAUACAACUGUCUAUUUCAGAGGCCGCGGAAGCAUUUCGAAAGUGGAGGGGCAUUGACCGAAAGGGGCACUUUUGUAUAUGACCAGAAUCAAACGAUUUUAUGACGUUCACGAACCGAACGAAAAUUUUUGAAAAUAUGGAGUCUCUCUAACGUCGGAAAUGGCCUUUACAGAGUCUUUACUACUGCGAAAAGGGCAUUUUCUUUCCAGAAAAAGAGGGCGUUUAUUCAAGAAAUACUUUUUUCGUUUUUUAAAUGGGGCAUUUUAGCCCAGAAAAAAGGGCACUUUUUCAUUUUUAAGAAAAGUGGGGGGGCACAUGCCCCCAUUGCCCCCCCGGUUCCGCGGCCCCUGGUCUAUUUGUUCGAACGUACACAGGCAACGCGUUUAUGUCUCGUUUGAUUAUAAAUGGCAAUCAGUUCGCUUGCAUUUCGGAUAUUUCGCUUACACGGUUUACAAACUUGGUCGGAUAGUUCCGAGGUAGAAUUAACUUCGAUUCCUUAAUGAACUGAACCGGCAAUUCGACUUAUUUCGGCCAAGGUUUUACCACUGUCGUAACGUUUCUUUUGCUUGCCUUAAAUAAAUAAUUUCUCCGACGAUAUAUAAGAAUAUAAGAUAUUUUCUCUAUUGGCGUAUUGCCCCGUAUUUUAGUUUCAAAGCACACUUAAACAAACGACAAGUCAUUUACAUUUUCCGCGCUUGCUUUUCUACCUGAAACUUUCAAUGGCGUUUCUCUCGACAUAUUUUUAUACAUUUGCAAUUUUGCGAUCCAAACAAUAACAUAGUUUGACAGUUUGAUUAUUAAUAUAUUUAGUGUUUGCUGAUUGGCUAAUUGGACCCGGACAAAAAAGUGGGCGGUUAUCAAAUUACACUGCCAAACCCAGCAGGCGGUAUUUUAGACCGCCUGCCAUGCAGGCUAUUUUCACUGUAGCCUAAUUCUUAAUUAUAACCGUCAUAUUUGUAUUGGAUCAACAGUAUUUUAUAUAUUGGAUCAUGCUGGCGGAUCAGCAGUCACUGCUGAUCACUUUGAUCAAAGAGCUUAAAUUCGCUCUGAAAUCCGUGAGGGAAUAACAAAAUUCGGC